rnacentral:misc_RNA from 1 species
CACAAUUGCUGGUCCAAGAAGAGAUCUAAUCUUUGUACUUACAAGUGUUGGAAAUGCCAGAGGCCUGGUCACCUUGCAGAAGAUUGUUUGGUGACAACAUGUAACCAGGUGUCAGAAGGGCAGAACAAGAAUCCAAUAUGCAAAGAUCUUCUUGGACUUUACAGAAGAUGUCAUCAGAUAGGUAAAAAUUUGUCAGCAGCAAACUGCAAUGUAUGCCGCAGUUCUUUAAGUUUGGCAACAUGCCUUCAUUGUAGUGCAGUCCUUUGUGACAAUGCUGGUCAUUUGGAUGAGCAUAUAAGGACACAUCCAAGCCAUCGGCAAUAUUACUCUCAUAAACUUAAACGUUUGGUGAAAUGCUGCAAAUCAACAUGCAGGGUGACCAACAUCAGGGAACUUAUGGCUUGCCAUUACUGUUUUGAUAAAGNNNACAAGUUCUAUGAUAUGCAUACUGCAACUUGGAAAGGAGCUGGAUUAUCAAUGAUCUGGGGUUCUGUUUGCUGUGAAGAUCACUUUGAAUGGCAUAGGAUGAAUUGCUUGAAUGCUGACAUAGAGGAUGGAGCAUAUAUCGUUAAUAAGAAUGCAGAGAAUAACAAACAUAUUCAGCUUAAUGACUUCAUUUUCUGAUAGGGUGCUCGAGGGCAAACUAUUACCUUACAAAUUACAAUAGCCUCCCUAUUUAUGCCAGGUAUCAGUAUGCCCCAGCUAUUGAGGAUUGCAGCUGAAUGUUUGCUUUCUUCCCGUAUUGAUAAUUCCAACAGUAAAAUCGGCUGUUAUCUGGACAAAUUCAGAUAUAGCUGUAGAAGAUGCAUUGUGUGUGUGUGUUUCUUCUACUUCACAUCAAUCA